AUGCCUACCGCAAGGAAAGAGGAUUGGGUCACCGUCCAAAGAGCCGUGAGGAUCGACACUACGGGUCUUAGAGGCUCAGGGGUCAAUCCCCCCCCCCCCAGCCUCUGUCACCAGGACCUCCCUCCUGCCUUGGACUGUGGCCAGCUCCAGGACCACGUGGGAGGGUUCCCGGGGGGAGGGGACUCAAACCCGAGACUAGGGCCUCCCGCCUCGAACCCCCCAGCCCGGGCUGUGGGCCUCUGGCCAAAGCCGGGUCUUCUCUGUUUGCGGAAAGGGGAACUAGGGUCCGGGGCAGACCCAGAGGCUCUUGUCCUCGGCCAGGCCCGCCCUCUUCUGGGCCCAACCCCCAAAGGCCCCGCGGGACUCUGGGUCUCACGAAGCUCCCCUUUGCCCCGGCGCCGGGCACCGUCUCGCGGACGCAUCCCUGGGCUGGACGGACGCGCGGGACCUCGAGGCGCCGCGCGCAUCUUCCCUUCUGGAUGGGCGACGAUUCUAGAAACCGACCGGAAAGGAAGAAGGUGGCCCGACCCGACCUUGCGCGGGGCCCCCGGGGCGCUGGGGGUCCCCCUCCCGUCCUGCGGCGGGUUCUCUGGGUCUCCCCGUCCACGCCGCGCCGCCAGCCCUAAAGCGAGGUGUGGGACGCGGUGGAGGGUACGCGGCGUGGGGGCAGGGAGAGACGUUGAGAAUUUGAAAGAGACCGGUCGGGGAUUUGGACCCCGAGCGCUCGCCGGCGCAGCGGACUCAUCCUCCAGGGCCAUCUUUUCCCACUCAACACCAGUGACCUUGACCUCCACGAUCCCGUGCUCCCAGUCUGAAAAGGGUCCCGAGGGACGGAGGGCGGGAGGGCUGAGGGAGCCUCGGUUCCCAUCCCAGAGCUGGAAGGGAAGGAGGCGCGUUGGCACUGCUGAGGCCUGCGUGCUGCCUCCCGGGGCCGAGCGACCGUGGGGUUUUAGGGACUCGGUGCCUGCGUGGCACCGGCUUCCCAGCGCUGCCCGGGCCCCCUGGGCCUCCUUCUGUUUGUCCUUUUGGGUCAGAGUGUCCCCAUCCCUGCCCACGGCCUUGAAUUUCGGGUUCCACCCCCCUUCCUCCCUUGCUGCUUUCAAUUCUGAGGUUCUCAGUCAGUUUCGGGCUGGAACAGAGGAAUCGUGUCGGAGGCGGCACUGGUCACAGGGGCGGGGCUGCGGUGAGGGGGAGGCCGUCUUGCCCCAGCGCUGCCUCCCUUUUCCUUUGAAGGAGCCAGAAGGUGCCAUGCCCGGCUAG
rnacentral:lncRNA from 1 species